rnacentral:rRNA from 1 species
GAUGAACGUUGGCGGCGUGCCUAAUACAUGCAAGUCGAACGGAGAUUGUAGCAAUACGGUCUCAGUGGCGAACGGGUGAGUAACGCGUUGGUGACCUGCCCCGAAGUGUGGAAUAACAGAUCGAAAGAGCUGCUAAUACCGCAUAAUAUCCAGGAGAUUAGAUGCUUCUGGAUUAAAGGAUUUAUUCGCUUCGGGAGGGGCCUGCGUCCCAUCAGCUAGUUGGUAAGGUAAUGGCUUACCAAGGCUAUGACGGGUAGGGGACCUGAGAGGGUGGCCCCCCACAAUGGAACUGAAACACGGUCCAUACACCUACGGGUGGCAGCAGUAGGGAAUAUUAGUAAUGGGCGAAAGCCUGAACUAGCAACGCCGCGUGUGCGAAGAAGGCCUUCGGGUUGUAAAGCACUUUUAGAGAGGAUGAGGAAGGACGGUACUCUCAGAAUAAGUCUCGGCUAACUACGUG